ACCCUCCAGACCGCAGGCCAACGCUCUAUCCACUGAGCAACACCGGCCAGGGCUCCCGAGGCACCUUCUCACAGGUGCAGUCUCUCCCCCACAGACCUUCAAGCACAGCUUCCCAGAGCAGCCCGGGGUUCCCCGCUGCUUCUUUCUCAGGCAAUUCCUUCCGGCCCUACCUGCCCCAGCCCGUCUGCAAGGGGUUAACCGCUGUAGGAGUUCAGAACGAGUCAGCCCAAGGCGCGGGUUGUUCUGAGUUAAAGGCAACCAAGACUGCAGGCUCAAGAGAACACCUCCACCACCACUCUCAGCAACAGAGAGGAAUUUGAAGUAGGGGACCUCCCACAAGAAGAGGUUAUCAGCGACAACCCUUUUCACCCAUCCAUAGGGCAAGGCAACUGCUAAUUUCCCAGACAUCCCUUAUCGCCCUGCAGUGACCCGUGGAAGUCCCCAAGCUGUCUUACCUUGUCCCCGGCUCAAAGUGUCUAUACACCACACUUCCACUUUCUGAACCUCUCAUGUAUGUGGUCUCUGACUCUCAUGUAUAUGGGGUUCCCAUACAUAAGUAAUUAAUUGGUCAUUUUCUCCCCCUAA